GAUGAACGCUGGCGGCGUGCCUAAUACAUGCAAGUCGAGCGAACAGAUGAGGAGCUUGCUCCUCUGACGUUAGCGGCGGACGGGUGAGUAACACGUGGAUAACCUACCUAUAAGACUGGGAUAACUUCGGGAAACCGGCGCUAAUACCGGAUAAUAUAUUGAACCGCAUGGUUCAAUAGUGAAAGACGGUUUUGCUGUCACUUAUAGAUGGAUCCGCGCCGCAUUAGCUAGUUGGUAAGGUAAAGGCUUACCAAGGGGACGAGGCGUAGCCGACCGGAGAGGGUGAUCGCCCACACUGGAACUGAGACACGGUCCAGACUCCUACGGGAGGCAGCAGUAGGGAAUCUUCCGCAAUGGGCGAAAGCCUGACGGAGCAACGCCGCGUGAGUGAUGAAGGUCUUCGGAUCGUAAAACUCUGUUAUUAGGGAAGAACAAAUGUGUAAGUAACUAUGCACGUCUUGACGGUACCUAAUCAGAAAGCCACGGCUAACUACGUG
rnacentral:rRNA from 1 species